UACGGAGGGUGCAAGCGUUAUCCGGAUUCACUGGGUUUAAAGGGUGCGUAGGUGGGCAGGUAAGUCAGUGGUGAAAUCUUUGGGCUUAACCCGAAAACUGCCAUUGAUACUAUUAGUCUUGAAUUAAGUUGAGGUGGGCGGAAUGUGUCAUGUAGCGGUGAAAUGCUUAGAUAUGACACAGAACACCGAUUGCGAAGGCAGCUCGCUAAACUUAUAUUGACGCUGAGGCACGAAAGCGUGGGGAUCAAACAGG
rnacentral:rRNA from 1 species